rnacentral:rRNA from 1 species
AACGAACGCUGGCGGCAGGCCUAACACAUGCAAGUCGAACGCCCUAGCAAUAGGGAGUGGCAGACGGGUGAGUAACGCGUGGGAACGUGCCUUUCGGUUCGGAAUAACUCAGGGAAACUUGAGCUAAUACCGGAUACGCCCUUCGGGGGAAAGAUUUAUUGCCGAAAGAUCGGCCCGCGUCCGAUUAGCUAGUUGGUGAGGUAAAGGCUCACCAAGGCGACGAUCGGUAGCUGGUCUGAGAGGAUGAUCAGCCACACUGGGACUGAGACACGGCCCAGACUCCUACGGGAGGCAGCAGUGGGGAAUAUUGGACAAUGGGCGCAAGCCUGAUCCAGCCAUGCCGCGUGAGUGAUGAAGGCCCUGGGGUUGUAAAGCUCUUUCGCCAGGGACGAUAAUGACGGUACCUGGAUAAGAAGCCCCGGCUAACUUCGUGCCAGCCGCCGCAGUUAA